rnacentral:rRNA from 1 species
GAACGUCGUGAGACAGUUCGGUCCUCUAUCCGCUGUGGGCGUUUGAGACUUGAGGGGUUCAUUCUCUAGUACGAGAGGACCGAGAAUGACGAACCUCUGGUGUUCCGGUUAUUGCGUCAGCAGUAGCGCCGGGUAGCUAAGUUCGGAAAAGAUAAGCGCUGAAAGCAUCUAAGCGCCAAGCUGUUCCCAAGAUAAGGUCUCAAUCUGACUUCGGUCAGUGCAGGGUCCGGGUAGACCACCCGGUUGAUAGGGCACAAGUGUAAGCAUGGUAACAUGUUCAGCGUAGUGCUACUAAU